CCCUUAGAUGUCCGGGGCCGCACGCGCGCUACACUGAUGAAUUCAACGAGCACUAACCUGUGCCGAAAGGUUCGGGUAAUCUUGUGAAAUUUCAUCGUGAUGGGGAUUGAUUAUUGCAAUUUUUAAUCAUAAACGAGGAAUGCCUAGUAAGCGUGAGUCAUCAGCUCACGUUGAUUACGUCCCUGCCCUUUGUACACACCGCCCGUCGCUCCUACCGAUUGAAUGUGCCAGUGAAAAGUUCGGAUUGGAGAUAGGAAACGGCAACGUAUCCUAUUUCCGAGAAAAUCUUUAAACUUUCCCAUUUAGAGGAAGGAGAAGUCGUAACA
rnacentral:rRNA from 1 species